AUGUUCAUGUAUUGUAAGUGUCUGAUAGCACUACCUUUUAUCAGUGCGAGGUUAAAAGUGAACGGUUUGUUCUGGCUGAGAUUGGAACCGAACGCUAAGAAACUGUGUGUGUGUGUGUGUGUGUGUGUGUGUGUGUGUGUGUGUGUGUGUGUGUGUGUGUGUGUGUGUGUGUGUGUGUGUGUGUGUGUGUGUGUGUGUGUGUGUGUGUGUGUGUGUGUGUGUGUGUGUGUGUGUGUCAGGUUGCAGACAGAGAGUCAACGUUUAGCGGAGGAGGAGGAGAAACUGGAGCAGCCGAUGGAAGAUGGCCGAGCUAAUGCAGCGGCGGUGGUGGAGGCUACAGCAGAAGCAGUCCAAGCAGAUAUCUUGGAGAAUGGACAGGAAGAAGUAGAGUCCGAAUCCGUUCUAGGAACAGUUGAGGCAGCACUAUUGGAAAGAGCUGAGAUCCUCACCAAUGGGAGAGGAGAGGGGGAGGGGCAAGCUGCUACCCACGAUGCAUCAGAGGAGGGCGGACUGCCCAACGGCACCACCGGUCCAGUGACGGUCGUCCCCGAAGAUGGUGCCGUUACCAUGAUGUUCCUGGGGUUCACGGAGGCGGAGCCAGGCGAGGCUCCGGUAAUCGAGGAAGGAGGAGUGAUCAUGAUGAGAGCGGAGCGAGUGAUUAUCAAUGACGAGGGAGACGAGCUGGCAAAUGACCUUUCCUCUCCGGGGCAGGAACAGGAAGUAGACUCGGCCGCGUUCAAUAAGAGCUCAGAAUCUCCUGAGGAAGGAGGAAUUGAGGAGGCGAAACCAGAGACAACUCCUGAAGAGUCCUCAGAAGUAGCAAAAGAGACUGAGGCAGACACAGUAACCAGAGGUUUAGGAGAAGGACAGAUGGACACAGUAACCGGAGGUUUAGGAGAAGGACAGAUGGACACAGUAACCGGAGGUUUAGGAGAAGGACAGAUGUACACAGUGACCAGAGAUUUAGGAGAAGGACAGAUGGAGGGUGUGGCAAACGGUGGUGGAGAGGAAGAGGCACAGCCAGUAGAGGAAGCUCCUGUGUCUGAUCUGCAGGCCCCAGAUGAUGGCGUGGUGGCUGCCGUUCCCGUCUACUCUGAGACCUUACUCACCCCCAGGCCCGACGCAGAGGGAGAGGCUGCAGGCGAGCCGGCAGAGGGCGAUGUGGAAGUGAAGACUGAAAUGGAAGUCAAGGGGGAAGAGGAGGCCUCGGUGGCCCCAGAAUCAGCCAUCCUCCCUGGGGGCCAGUUCCUGGAGGUGUCCCUAGUGGAGCCCUGGACUGAGGCAGAGCCUGAGCAGGAGCCCCUGCUGUUCCCAUCCAAGGCCCAGACCCUGGGGGAGCAGGCUCCAGCCGCCCCAGAGACACUGACCGCUACCAGGGGAGAGGCGGAGGGAGGGGUCGGUGUGGCUCCCAAACGCAAGACCUGCCAGUGCUGCUCCGUCAUGUGA
rnacentral:lncRNA from 8 species